GAAUUAAAGGAGUGAUCUGUAUUGUGACUUGCGAGUGAAGGUUUAAGUUAUUUGGUUGUGGAAUUGAACACAUAUGAUGGGACCACAGUACAUAUGGCUUCUAGUGGAAUUUGGAGGUCUUAUUAUUUUGGCUGGAGUAGUUGAACUAUAGCUCACUAGAUUAGCUAGGAAGGAAUAUGAAAAUUGAAAUUAUAGAGCUGGCAGUAGUUAUAUUUAUCUAUUUAUGUUUUGCUUUGAUGAUAUUUGUAUGCUUGGUAUAUGUAGGAACUAAUCAAAGGAAGAUUCAUAUUUCACAUUCUAGGUCGAUACCUACAUUAAAAGUGGUAUAGUUAUUGGGCUGGGGUUUGGUAUAGCUUCUUGAUUGGCCAUGCAGUAUAUAGGUCUGCAACUUGGAGUAGGUGCUUUAAAGGAUAUAGUGGGGAUACCGACAUGUAACUAGUGUUCUGCCCAUAUUGGUCCAAUUUCUGUUCUAGCAUGCGUACCCCUCAGUGAACUAUUGAUUCAUAUGUAGCUGGAACUAUAGAAAGAGAGCAAAAAGCUUCUACAGAAGCUUCCAAAGCUAGACUCCAAUGAGGCUAUGAGAGCAGCAAAGCUAGACUCCUUAAGUAAAUUUUUGGAUGUAUAUAGGAGAGUAGUAUUAGAUGUACUCCUUUUGUGGAUGAAAGAUUACCUUUACACAAUCUAUUUUGGUGCAUGAUGUGGAUUAAAACAAUUUCUUCUAUAUAUUGAUCAACUACUAUUAAUUUGAUUA